CCCAGACUCCUACGGGAGGCAGCAGUGGGGGAUAUUGCACAAUGGGGGGAACCCUGAUGCAGCGACGCCGCGUGGGUGAAGGAGCGUUUCGGCGCGUAAAGCCCUAUCGGCAGGGAAGAAGGAGGACGGUACCUGACUAAGAAGCCCCGGCUAACUACGUGCCAGCAGCCGCGGUAAUACGUAGGGGGCAAGCGUUAUCCGGAUUUACUGGGUGUAAAGGGGGCGCAGACGGCAGCGCAAGCCAGGAGUGAAAGCCCGGGGCCCAACCCCGGGACUGCUCUUGGAACUGCGUGGCUGGAGUGCAGGAGGGGCAGGCGGAAUUCCUGGUGUAGCGGUGAAAUGCGUAGAUAUCAGGAGGAACACCGGUGGCGAAGGCGGCCUGCUGGACUGCAACUGACGUUGAGGCCCGAAAGCGUGGGGAGCAAACAGGAUUAGAUACCCCCGUAUAU
rnacentral:rRNA from 1 species